UACAUAAGAAGAUAUGAAAAGUAACCCGAACUCGCAUCCGGCGACCGUAAGAGAACGCCGACUCGCUUACACGAACGCCAACAAACCCUGGACGGAGGCAGUGCUCACCCAGUUGCCGUCGGGAAACAUUGCACUUGUCCGAAUGGCGAGCCCUGAGCCCCACCCGAGAGGCCAGACCCCGCGGCGGAAAGGUCUUCUAGUUGUGUGAAUUAACAUGACUUCCUUGUCCAAAGCUGAAUGUCUGGCUGAUAACUGGGCCUCGGCACAUCCUGGACCUGACAGAGGUUGAUGAGGCAGAAGAGGAAUUCACCAAGAUGAACUAAAAAAGGAAGGGUUAGUACAUCUUC
rnacentral:lncRNA from 1 species